CCUGAAAAAGUAUCCUUCAUUUUAUUCAUAACUCAUGGUGUGGUUGAUUCACUAUAAGUGGCCAAUAGUUAAAGGAGAUCAGAUCAUGGAAGGAACUUCCACAUGUUUGGUUCAAUAGAAGUGAACAUUGAAGUGCCAAAUUUAUACCCUGAUUCCCAAAGAAGUGCUGCGAUGACUUCAACUGGGGACAGUCAGAAGUCACUUCAGGCAAUUUAUAGCCCUCACUCUAAUCACCUAUGGUGAACCAAACAUGCCCUUAGAUUGAGUCAGUAUACCCCACUAGGUCAGUUUUACAGAAGAUGAAGUAUUGUAUGACCGCUUUAUGCAACUUUAAUAAAAAGAGUUUGGUUGUUAAAUUCAUGGAGUUCUAAAUAAAUUAAAAAAAAUGUAAGCAAAACAAGAUAGAAACUAAUAUUUUAGUAAUAAUUUCAUGGAUUCUAUAAAUCUCCUCCAUGAAAACUAGAAGCAAAAUAAAAAGAAUCAUGAUUUUGCAGGAUAUACAACUGUACCUUUAGUAUUUAUAGUUCUUUAUCUCCUUGUCCUUCUUUUCUAAAUUUCAUGGCUCUGAUCUGUGCAGUGCAAUUUUUUUUAAAAGAAAAACACUAAAAAGGCACAAAUUGAUGUUCCAAAAGCAAGGAAAAUAAUCAAAUCUUGCUCCACAAUUAUAAAAGGAGAAAGUAAAGAACAAAAAUGUUCUCACCAACUCACCACCUAAAACUGAAUAUAUGUCACUGGAUCUUUUCUAAAUAUCUAGCAAGAAAAUGAAAUCUAAUGGAUCACAUUUGCUCAAUCCU
rnacentral:lncRNA from 1 species